AUACGGAAGGUGCAAGCGUUAAUCGGGAAUCGACUGGGCGUAAAGCGCUCGUAGGUGGCUCUGUAAGUCAGGUGUGAAAGCCCACGGCUCAACCGUGGAAUUGCACUUGAUACUGCAUUGCUUGAGUUCGGGAGAGGGUAGUGGAAUUCCAGGUGUAGGAGUGAAAUCCGUAGAGAUCUGGAGGAACACCAGUGGCGAAGGCGACUACCUGGACCGAUACUGACACUGAGGAGCGAAAGCGUGGGGAGC
rnacentral:rRNA from 1 species